GGGUGCGUCUCAAGAGCCAGGGAGCCACUAACCCGGUCCUCGGGGAAUGACUUCAUGACUAAAUUGGGAAUUGAUGAAAGCCAGCCGUGUUUCAGAUGCGCCUCGAACUGCCCGAGUUCCGUGGACUUCAUGUUUAUGUGAUUUCCACUAUCUAAAACGGUUAUAAAGUUGGGUGAAAUAUUUUUUUUUUUCAUCACGCCCUGCACUUUGACUUCCUCACACUUUCAAGUUCAUUUCUGGUCCCUCAGGUCCGUCUGGAAGUUCUAAGAAAGACCUUUUUAAAAGAUUUUUGCUCAGGGCUGCAAAGGAACGGUUUGUUUUCAUUCGUCAUAUACUGACACAGGCUCACCUCCAGGUCUCUGGGGAACCAUAUGAGGCAUUUUCCAGAGUUAUUUCCAGAAUAAACAAGGCUUGAAAGGCUGGCCUUGCUUAACCACUCUCCACAGCUCUGCUUCUCUACUCCAGGCGGGAGGGGCGACUCCUUGACCAUCUGUAAAUAUUUCAACGCAACCAAUUCUCUAAGGAAUGAGAAUUUUUUUGUUGUUUUUUUUUUUUUUUUAAGAUUUUAUUUAUUUAUUCGACAGACAGAGAUCACAAGCAGGCAGAGAGGCAGGCAGAGAGAGAGGAGGAAGCAGGC
rnacentral:lncRNA from 1 species